AAGAGAAUAAAAAGGCAAAAGAAGAGGAGACACUGUGGACAAUAUCUAGACCAAACAAUACGCCUGGCUGAUAAAAUAUAGACCAACAAAAUUAUUUUUGCCCAAUCCAAGACCAGCCAAACAUAGGUAAGAUUUUGCCAUGAUGCUUCUUUAUAAUAUUUUAUUAUUAUUAUUUUCUUUGAUUCCUUCUCCCCUUGUUGCUCCUUGGUGCCCCCCC
rnacentral:lncRNA from 1 species